ACCCGCUGCUGGAGUCAAUCAUCACUCGCCCCUUGGCCGCCAGUCGCUCUUGUACAGUAGCGUUCUUCGGUAACUGGAAGUACAGACAGGUGUCGAGCCAUCACAAUGUUUCACCUGAACAUGCGCCACAACCAGCAGAAGAAGAAGGAGGAGGAGCGGCAGAAGGAGGAGCGGCGGCGGCAGUGGGAGGAGGAGCUCAAGGAGGAGGAGAGGCAGGAGGCUGCCGAACAGGCUGCCAAGGACGCCAAGAAGGAGGGCCGGAAGAAAUCGGACGAUGAAAAAACGGAGGAUGAGUAGGGAUGAAGCCAUUGUAACGGAGGAGGAUGAGUAGGGACGGAGCCGUUUAAACGGAGGAGGAUGAGUAGGGACGGAGCCGUUUAAACGGAGGA